rnacentral:lncRNA from 1 species
GCCAGAGCAGGCAGGGAGCUGUGCUCUGACUGUUGGAGAUCAGGAAAAGGCAAAUCCUUGGAAAAACCACUUUUCCAGUGAAUUGGAGCUGGAUGCUGUUUGCCUGUUAGCAGCUCAGUGUGUGUCAACCCCAUAUUCCAAGUCAUGGUGUUCUCUGAGGUGAAAUACUCAUGGCAUUGUGGCUAUAACUUGGAAAACCUGACCAAACCACUGCAGAUACCCUGCAAGAACUGGGAGCUGUAGAAACUGGGUCCUGGUCAUUCUGGGAUGGAUGGAGGGAGGAGUUGAGCUCACUCCAAUAGGAGCAGGUUGAUGCUGCUGGGAGAACUGGGAUUGUGGAGGUUUGAUAGAGCCUUGGAGGGCUGGAAUGGGGCUUGGAAACCAAUGGAGUAAAAUAAGAUAAAAACCACCUUUCAGAAAGAAACUCUGAGUCUGAGAGCCUCGAGGCACAAACUGGAUCCAUUUCCUUUAAAUGCUUGAACUUGAAGCUCCUGAAAGAGGGGUAAAGUAUCCAGGAGGAAUGAGGAACAUGUUAAAUUGGAGAUAGACAUCUAAAAGGCAGAGCCCUCCUGAAGCAGAUUUUCCUGCUGGGAUCACUGCACCCAGCCAGCUGAUCUGUCGGGGGACUGUCCAGUGGAAAGGCACAAAAUAUGUGGAAGCAGUUCCCAGAAAGGAUGGGAAAUCAGUAAUUAAAGGAAGAGAGGCUUAUUUAAGGGUGCAAAGAGAGUAGCAACAGCAGAAUCCUCCCUAAAAGAAAAAGGGGAUGUGAGGAGAGGCUGUAAAUCCUGACAGUUCCCUGAGGAGAAGGCUGGUGGGGUUGGGAGCAGAACAUCCUUGGAAACAAAACCUUGGGGGCUUCUCAGGAAGCUCUGAAUUGUAAUAUUUCUUCUCAGGAAGCUCUGAAUUGUAAUAUUUCUUCUCAGGAAGCUCUGAAUUGUAAUAUUUCUCUUGCAGGUCCUCUUCUCGUUCAUCCACCUACUCCGGGUCCGGCUCCUCCCGCUCGCGCUCCAGGUCCUCCUCCUACAGCUCCUACUCCAGUCGCUCCUCCAGGCACAGCUCUUUCUCAGGCAGCAGGUCCAGGUCAAGGUCCUUCUCAUCUUCUCCCUCUCCUUCUCCAACACCAUCUCCUCACAAGCCACUGGCCAAGGCUAAAGGGGACCUAUUGCCACCUCCUGGGAAAGGGGAGAAAUCUGUGAAGAAACUCACUGCCCUCCCAGUCCCUCAGCCACUCACAAAAAUUACAGCAGCAGCCCCGGAGGCAGCCAAGGCAGGGGAUAAUCGGGAAGCAAGGAGGAAGGAACGUCAGACAAGGACUCCACCCAGGAGGAGGACCAUCAGUGGCAGCAUCAGUGGCAGUGCCAGCAGCUACAGCGGCUCCAGCUCCCGAUCCAGGUCCCUGUCCCGGUCUCUCUCCAGAUCUCAUUCCAGAUCAUCCUCUGCCUCAGUCUCCCACUCUCCCUCUGGCUCAAGGAAAUCCAGGUCCCUGAGCGUGAGCAGCGUCUCCUCCGUGUCCAGUGCCUCGUCCAGCAGCAGCUCCGUGCGCAGCGCCGACUCCGAGGACAUGUACGCGGACCUGGCCAGCCCCGUGUCCUCGGCCAGCUCCCGCUCCCCCACCCCNNNNNNNNNNNNNNNNNNNNUUUGGAGAGGAAGGGAGGAGCAGGGAUCUUUCCCUGGGAGUUCUGUGGGCUCUGGGAAAAUCCUGGAGCAGAGGUGA